rnacentral:tRNA from 1 species
AAGAUUUUAGUUUAAUGAGAGAGCAAACGACUGAAGAUCUUUGUAUCGUGGUUCAAUUCCACGAAAUCCCA